GUUGAAAUACCGGUUCUCGUACGAUCACUGAAGUUAAGCAACAUUGAACCUGGCCAAUACCUAGAUGGGUGACGGAUUGGGAAUACCAGGUGUUGUAA